rnacentral:rRNA from 1 species
GAUGAACGCUGGCGGCGUGCUUAACACAUGCAAGUCGAACGGAAAGGCCCUGCUUUUGUGGGGUUCUCGAUUGGCGAACGGGUGAGUAACACGUGAGUAACCUGCCCUUGACUUUCGGAUAACUUCAGGAAACUGGGGCUAAUACCGGAUAGGAGCUCCUGCUGCAUGGUGGGCGUUGGAAAAUUUCGGCGGUUGUGGAUGGACUCGCGGCUUAUCCGCUUGUUGGUGGGGUAGUGGCUUACCAAGGCUUCGACGGGUAGCCGGCCUGAGAGGGUGAACGGCGUCAUUGGGACUGCGAUACGGACCAGAAGCCUAUGUGAGGCAGCGGUGGGGAAUAUGACACAACGGGCGGAAGUCUGAUGCAGAAACGCCGCGUGCGGGAUGACGGCCUUCGGGUGGUAAACCGCUGUCGCCUGUGACGAAGCGUGAGUGACGGUAAUGGGUAAAGAAGCACCGGCUAACUACGUG